rnacentral:misc_RNA from 1 species
UGACCUUUUGAAAUCAUGCUUUCUGAACAUAAUAUUGAAACUGGAAAUACUUAUACAACCUCAAUAAACUGUAUCACCUUCACUUUAGCUAGUCCGUGCAUACGACUGCUCCGGUGACCAAUGUUUGUCCGGACAGCUAAAAUGACUGGAACUAUAUGUCAACUAAAGUGAGGAGUUAUAAAUAAUUCAAAUAAUGGUAAGAAAAAUUAAGAAAAAAAUUUUAGAAAU